rnacentral:rRNA from 1 species
CUAAAACCUGAGACAGGCAGGACUACCCGCUGAACUUAAGCAUAUCAGUAAGCGGAGGAAAAGAAAUCAACUGAGAUUGCCUUAGUAGGGGCGACUGAACAGGCAACAGCCCAGCAUUAAAAUCUCCGGCUCUUGGCCGGCGAAUUGUAAUCUGCAGAAACGUCUUUGUGAUUGACACCGGCAUAACUUCCAUGGAAAGGGAGAUCAAAGAGGGUUAAAAUCCCGUAGUCGGUUGGUGUCAAGCAGCAUUUGCGUUUUCAUAGAGUCGAGCAUCUUGGGACUGAUGCUCCAAUAGGGAGAUAGACUUCUUCCAAGGCUAAAUACAGGUGGGAAUCCGAUAGCGAACAAGUACUGUGAAGGAAAGACGAAAAGAACUUUGGAAAAAGAGUUAAAAGACUUGAAACCGUUGAGAAGGAAGGUCUGGAACCCGGCUAAUCCAGGAAACAGAGGGGCGAGUAGGAAGGCAGCGGCUUAGCGGUCGAUGUCUCUGCAAUCGUUUGCUCACUUUCUGGAAAGGCAGGAUGAGGUGCGGACUCUGAAUAGCUCUGCAAAGGAGGACGACGCCUGAGGGAAUUUUUUGAUUCUGCCAAAACGAGUUCCAAACACCCGUCUUGAGUUUGCGAGACAAAAAGUGCGCCGAAAGAGCGUGCUAGUCCGAAAGGGCGACAUCAUCAAAUUGCAGGAACAUCCUUAGAGCCUCGUUUACCAAGCGUCAUCUGAAAGGAUGGCGUGGCCAGGUUAAUUGCCUCGGGUAUGGUCAAAACAACGAGGAUUGGACAAUCUGCAGCCAAGUCCUAAAGCUCAGGCUACGGACGCAGUUCACAGACUAAAUGGUGAUGGGCCGAAAGGCUUCAGACAUAGUCGGGCCCCGCCGAAAGGCGCAAUACAGAGAAUCAAACAGUCGAUCAGGAACGUCAUUCGUUCCGUUGUUGGCUGCUUUGAAAAUCUGAUCUUUUUGUUGUUUGGCUUUGAAUUUCACAACAAAUUUAAAGCCGUGACAACAAGGGAGCAACCGGAAACACGGACCAAGGAGUUUAAUUUACAUGCGAGUUUGCGAGUGCAAAACUCAUAAGCGAAAUGAAAGUGAGUCCAAGGUGCCAAGCCGCAAGGUAGCAGCAUCGGCCUUCCCUGAUCUUCUGUGAAGGGUAUGAGCAAGAGCAUGUAUGUUAAGACCCGAAAGAUGACGAUCUAUGCUUGAGUAGGAUGAAGCCAGGAGAAAUUCUGGUGGAGGUCCGAACAGAUACUAACGUGCAAAUUGUUCUGCGAACUUGAGUAUAGGGGCGAAAAACCAAUCGAGUCUUCUAGUAGCUGGUUCCUUCUGAAGUUUCUCUCAGGACAGCAAGGACAACAACGCAGUUUUAUUAGGUAAAGCGAAUGAUUAGAGGCCUCCGGGGCUUAAUGUCCUGGACCUAUUCUCAAACUUUAAAUUGGUAAGAGCCUUCGGUUUUCUUAAUUGAACCGAGGGGCAGAAUGCGUGUUCUUAGUGGGCCAUUUUUGGUAAGCAGAACUGGCGAUGAGGGAUGCUCCUAAAGUCGAGUUAAGGUGCCUAAAUUGCAAGCAUCAGACACCAUGAAAGGCGUUGAUUCGUUCAGACAAUCGGAACGUGACCCUGAGAGUAGGUAUCGUUUAAAGACCGUUUCCCACCCACCGAUUUAACGAAUCAGCCCUAAAAAUGGAUGGCGCUAUAUUGUAAUACCGACACUCGACCUUCAAGGCAAAAAGCAGCCUUGAAGAGUAAGAAGGCGUGGAAGUAGUGCUGAAGCCGCGACGUGAGUCUAGGUGGAACUGCUUCUAGUGCAGAUCUUGGUGGUAGUAGUAAUUAUUCAAAUGAGAACUUUGAAGACUGAAGCUAGAGACGGGUUCCGUGAGAACAGCAAUUGGUCACGGGUUACUCGAUCCUAAGGCAAGGCGGAAACGCCGCGAAGCAGUGUUCCACUGCGGUGCCGAAAGGGAAUGAGGUUAAUAUUCCUCAAGUUUGCAAUGGAUCCUGUGUGGCAACACAAACAACCUCGGAGACAUCGGCGCGUACCCCUGGAAGAGUUUUCUUUUCUUCUUAACCGCUCGAAGCCAUGGAAUUGGAUUAUCCAGAGAUAUGGCCUUAAGGCGGGAAGAGCGACUCACUCUUGGGUCGGUGGUGCGUUCGCGACGAUCAGUGAAAAUCCGAGCUCGAUACUCAAUCCAUUCAAAAUCGUACCAUAACCGCAUCAGGUCUCUAAGGUUAGCAGCCUCUGGUCAACUAGAAGAAAGUCAUUUAGGGAAUUCGGCAAAAUAGAUCCGUAACUUCGGGAAAAGGAUUGGCUCUGAGGACUGGGCAUGCAUCCCUCUGUCCACGACCGAUUGGACUUGACUGAGGGCCUAGCUCUAGGUCGAGAACGAGGAGUUGGUGACUCUGGGUUUGUAUGCGAUCAUCAGUCAGCUCAGAACUGAAGCGGUCAAGGGGAAUCUAACUGUUUAAUAAAAACAAAGCUUUGUGAUGUCCCGAAAGGGUUUUGACACAAUGUGAUUUCUGCCCAGUGCUUUGAACGUUAACGUGAAGAAAUUCAACUAAGCGCAGGUAAACGGCAGGUGUAACUAUAACACUUUUAAGGUAGCCAAAUGCCUCGUCAUCUAAUUAGUGACGUGCAUGAAUGGAUCAAUGAGAUUCCUACUGUCCCAAAUGACCAUCUAACGAACCCACAGCCAAGGGAACGGGCUUGGCAAAAUCAGCGGGGAAAGAAGACCCUGUUGAGCUUUGAAGAAGAGUGGCAUUGUGACGUGGCAAUUGGGAUAUAGUGUAGGUGGGAGGUUCGCCAACAAUGUAACACCACUACUCAUUUCGUCAUUUUACUAAUUCCGUAAAGCGGAAUCCUUCGGGACUUCUUGCACUAAGGUUCGUAAGAACUGAUCUGGGCGGAAGACAGUGUCAUCCGAUUUUCUUGACUGGGGCGGUACAUCCGUUAAAUCAUAACGCGGAUGUCCUAAGGCGAGCUCAAAGAGAACAGAAAUCUCUUGUAGACCAAAAGGGGAAAAGCUCGCUUGAUUUUGAUUUUCAGUACAAAUACAAACUGUGAAAGCAUGGCCUAUAGAUCCUUAAAUUUUACAAGUCUUAAAUUUGAGGUGUCAGAAAAGUUACCACAGGGAUUGACAAACUUGUCCCAGUAGUUGGAUCUCCCCAACUGCUAGUGCGGCCCGCUACUCGGAUGGCGGCCACCGUGCGACACACCUGGAUGCUGGAACCUCCUAAUGAUCGAAUACCAAGCGACUCUUAUCGCGCAGGAUGCGGAGACAUCCGGGUAACAACUUCGGUACAGGGACAACCAGCAAGCGACAAGGCCUCGGCCGCGCGCUUCAACGACUGCAAAGGUGUGGACUCGUCCGCGAGUCUAAGGUACAGUCUAUUCCCGGCAGCAAUGCCGUCUGGCCUAGAAGC